UACGUAGGGGGCAGGCGUUGUCCGGAUUUAUUGGGCGUAAAGAGCUCGUAGGUGGUUCGGUAAGUCGGAUGUGAAAUCUCCAGGCUCAACCUGGAGGGGUCAUUCGAUACUGCCGUGACUAGAGGUCGGUAGGGGAGUGUGGAAUUCCUGGUGGAGCGGUGAAAUGCGCAGAUAUCAGGAGGAACACCAAUUGCGAAGGCAGCUCGCUGGGACGUUACUGACGCUGAGACGCGAAAGCGUGGGGAGCAAACAGG
rnacentral:rRNA from 1 species